rnacentral:rRNA from 1 species
CCUACGGGAGGCAGCAGUAGGGAAUUUUCGUCAAUGGGCGCAAGCCUGAACGAGCACUGCCGCGUGAACGAGGAAGGUCUUCGGAUCGUAAAGGUCUGUUGAAGGGGAAAAAGAGCGGAGAGAGGAAAUGCUUUCUGAUUGAUAUUACCCUUCGAGGAAGUCACGGCUAACUACGUGCCAGCAGCCGCGGUAAUACGUAGGGGGCGGGCGUUAUACGGAAUGAUUGGGCGGAAAGGGUGCGUAGGCGGCCUGCUAAGUCUGGAGUGAAAGGUACCGGCUCAACCGGUACAGGCUCUGGAAACUGGCGGGCUAGAGAGCAGGAGAGGUAAGUGGAAUUCCUAGUGUAGCGGUGAAAUGCUUAGAUAUCACGAAGAACUCCGAUUGCGAAGGCAGCUCACUGGACUGCAACUGACACUGAGGCUCGAAAGUGUGGGUAUCAAACAGGAUUAGAUACCCCUGUAGUC